AGGUUUCGGCCUUAGUGGCGGACGGGUGAGUAACGCGUAGGAAUCUAUCCAUGGGUGGGGGAUAACACUGGGAAACUGGUGCUAAUACCGCAUGAUACCUGAGGGUCAAAGGCGCAAGUCGCCUGUGGAGGAGCCUGCGUUCGAUUAGCUAGUUGGUGGGGUAAAGGCCUACCAAGGCGAUGAUCGAUAGCCGGUUUGAGAGGAUGAUCAGCCACACUGGGACUGAGACACGGCCCAGACUCCUACGGGAGGCAGCAGUGGGGAAUAUUGGACAAUGGGGGCAACCCUGAUCCAGCAAUGCCGCGUGUGUGAAGAAGGUCUUCGGAUUGUAAAGCACUUUCGACGGGGACGAUGAUGACGGUACCCGUAGAAGAAGCCCCGGCUAACUUCGUGCCAGCAGCCGCGGUAAUACGAAGGGGGCUAGCGUUGCUCGGAAUGACUGGGCGUAAAGGGCGUGUAGGCGGUUUUGACAGUCAGAUGUGAAAUCCCCGGGCUUAACCUGGGAGCUGCAUUUGAGACGUUAAGACUAGAGUGUGAGAGAGGGUUGUGGAAUUCCCAGUGUAGAGGUGAAAUUCGUAGAUAUUUGGGAAGAACACCGGUGGCGAUGGCGGCAACCUGGCUCAUUUACUGACGCUGAGGCGCGAAAGCGUGGGGGAGCAAACAGGA
rnacentral:rRNA from 1 species